AGAAUGGCCACCCUGCAGGAUACAACCCUUUAUGAGAAAUAAAGCUCUCCUUUCCAAAUGCAUGAACCUUGUCAUUCUUCAGCUGAUGGCACUAUUUUCCACUGACUUCCUCUUCCCUGGGUUGCUCAAGUUCACACAGAUGUGUCCUCACCAGGACCUCACAGUCAAGGAGGCUUUUUUGUCUUUCUGUGUGAGUUUGAAGGGAGACCAGAUUCCAACCACUAGACACGGCUGCGUCCCUGAAGUCCCGGCUGCUGCAGGCCUCCCUCGAUCUGGCAAGGAAUGACUCCUUCCCUCCUCUAUUGCUAUCAGGAGAGGCAGGUCCUGCAACCUUUUUGACCAAUAGAAGUUGGCAGAAGCAGGAGCACCUAUGGGCAGGCUUGUGAGUGAAGCCUUCUUGGCCUCCCAGCCCAGGCACCAGCUGAAUGCAGCCGAGUGAAUUAUCCCAGCCAACCUGCGUGAAGCAGAAGAAACAUCAUCCCAAAUUCCAGCCCCAGAAAAUCAAGAACAAAUAAAACCAUGGUUGUUUGAAUCUGCUACAUUUUGAGGUUGAGUUUUUGUUUUGUUUUGUUUUUGAGAUGGAGUUUCGCUCUUGUUACCUAGGCUGGAGUUCAAUGGAGUGAUCUUGGCUCACCACAACCUCCGUCCCCCCAGGUUCAAGCGAUUCUCCUGCCUCAGCCUGAGUAGCUAGGAUUACAGGCAUGAGCCACCACACCUGGUUAAUUUUGUAUUUUUUAGUAGCGACUGGGUUUCUCCAUGUUGGUCAGGCUAGUCUCGAACUCCUGGCCCCAGGUGAUCCGCCCGCCUCAGCCUCCCAAAGUGCUGGGAUUACAAGCGUGGGCCACCACGUCCAGCCUGGAGGUUGUUUUUUAUGUGGCAACAGAUAAAGCAAGUUUUCAGAAUAAAUCUGUUAAAUCGACUUUAGCCUAAAACUGCCUCCUUACAUAUUGGUGCAAAAGUUGGUGCAAAAGUAAUUGCAGUUUUUGCCAUUAAAAGUAAUGUCACCAGCCAAUAUUUUAAGUUUGGCCUAAGGUUUCUCUGUACAUCGUGAGCUAUAACCUAAAUGGAAGUGCAGACAGACUGUAACCUACUCUUGUGCCAAUCACUGAGUUUUGCCCAAUCUAUGGUGGUCAACUGUUUGGACUGUGUUCAAAUAAGGCAAAUGCUGAGCUGUAACCAAUCCGGCCAGUUCUGUACCUCACUUCCAUCUUCUGUACGUCACUUUCCUUUGUUCUGUCUAUAAAUCAUCUUCCACCACAUGGCUGUGCUGGACUCUCUGAGCCUACUCUGGCUCUGGAGGCUACCUGAUUUAUGAAUCAUUCUUUGCUCAAUUAAACUCUGUUAAAUUUAGGCCGGGCGCUGUAGCUCGUGCCUGUAACCCCAGCACUUUGGGAGGCUGAGGUGGGAGGAUCACUUGAGGCCAGGAGUUUGAGACCACCUGAAACCCCAUCUGUACUAAAAGUACAAAGUAUUAGCCAUACGUGGUGGUGCAUGCUUGUAAUCCCAGCUAAUUGGGAGGCUGGGCCAGGAGAAUCCUUGAACUUGGAAGGCAGAGGUUGCAGUGAGCCGAGAUCAUGCCACUGCACUCCAGCCUGGGUGACAAGAACAAAACUCUG